rnacentral:misc_RNA from 1 species
AACGCAAAUUGCGCCUUCUUUCGGAAGGCAUGUCUGUUUGAGGGCACCAUUUAACAAAUAAUGUGCGCGUCGUUUACGGACGACGUGCGCACGUUGAUGAGCUUUUCCGAAAAAACCAGGUUUUUUUGGUGGCGCAUAAUGAACAGCGUGGGCUUUUUCUUCGAUUCUCGUGUAGUAAAUGUUCAACGCUUGGGUUGAGAAAAAGUGCGUGCCGCGCAAUGGGUGUGGCGAAUUUUACCCCUGCCCCAAUGCCACUCUUUCCCUGCGAAAGAACAAUCUUUUAUUUAGGGCCUCAAAUCAGACAAGAGUACCCGCUGAACUUAA